GCCCCUAUAGUUCAACGGAUAGAACAGCCCCGUCCUAAGGGGUAGAUGCUGGUUCAAUUCCGGCUAGGGGCACCU
rnacentral:tRNA from 1 species